rnacentral:tRNA from 1 species
GGAACUGUGCCCGAACUCAAGGAUCAUUUUGAUUAAAUGACAAAUGUGGAUUAAAACUUCCCCCUGUUCCU